ACUAUGCUUGGCCCUAAACCUCAGUAGUUAAAUAACAAAACUACUCGCCAGAAUACUACAAGCAACAGCUUAAAACUCAAAGGACUUGACGGUGCUUUACACCCCCUAGAGGAGCCUGUUCCGUAAUCGAUAAACCCCGAUCCACCCCACCCUCUCUUGCUCAGCCUAUAUACCGCCAUCUUCAGCAAACCCUGAUAAAGGCCACAAAGUGAGCGCAAACGCCACCACCGCGAAGACGUUAGGUCAAGGUGUAGCCCAUGAGACGGUAAAAAAUGGGCUACAUUUUCUAUCUCAGAAAACUCUACGAAAACCCUUAUGAAAUCUGAGGGUCCAAGGAGGAUUUAGCAGUAAAUUAAGAAUAGAGUGCUUAGUUGAACCAGGCCAUAAAGCGCGCACACACCGCCCGUCACUCCUCUCAAAUAUAUUCAAGGAAUAUCUUAACUAAACGCCCUAAUGUUUAUAUAGAGAGGAUAAGUCGUAACAUGGUAAGCGUACUGGAAGGUGCGCUUGGAUAAAU
rnacentral:rRNA from 1 species